rnacentral:rRNA from 1 species
CACGGCCCGAACUCCUACGGGAGGCAGCAGUGGGGAAUAUUGGACAAUGGGCGCAAGCCUGAUCCAGCCAUGCCGCGUGUGUGAAGAAGGCCCUCGGGUUGUAAAGCACUUUCAGUGGGGAAGAAAGCCUUCCGGUUAAUACCCGGGAGGAAGGACAUCACCCACAGAAGAAGCACCGGCUAACUCCGUGCCAGCAGCCGCGGUAAUACGGAGGGUGCGAGCGUUAAUCGGAAUUACUGGGCGUAAAGCGCGCGUAGGUGGCUUGAUAAGCCGGUUGUGAAAGCCCCGGGCUCAACCUGGGAACGGCAUCCGGAACUGUCAGGCUAGAGUGCAGGAGAGGAAGGUAGAAUUCCCGGUGUAGCGGUGAAAUGCGUAGAGAUCGGGAGGAAUACCAGUGGCGAAGGCGGCCUUCUGGACUGACACUGACACUGAGGUGCGAAAGCGUGGGUAGCAAACAGGAUUAGAUACCCUGGUAGUCCACGCCGUAAACGAUGUCGACUAGCCGUUGGGUCCUUCGCGGACUUUGUGGCGCAGUUAACGCGAUAAGUCGACCGCCUGGGGAGUACGGCCGCAAGGUUAAAACUCAAAUGAAUUGACGGGGGCCCGCACAAGCGGUGGAGCAUGUGGUUUAAUUCGAUGCAACGCGAAGAACCUUACCUACCCUUGACAUCCUCGGAAUCCGCCAGAGAUGGCGGAGUGCCUUCGGGAACCGAGAGACAGGUGCUGCAUGGCUGUCGUCAGCUCGUGUUGUGAAAUGUUGGGUUAAGUCCCGUAACGAGCGCAACCCUUGUCCCUAUUUGCCAGCGAUUCGGUCGGGAACUCUAGGGAGACUGCCGGUGACAAACCGGAGGAAGGUGGGGACGACGUCAAGUCAUCAUGGCCCUUACGGGUAGGGCUACACACGUGCUAC